GACGAACGCUGGCGGCGUGCUUAACACAUGCAAGUCGAACGAAGUGGCGAACGGGUGAGUAACGCGUAAUAAACCUGCCCUUCAGAGGGGGACAACAGUUGGAAACGAAUGCUAAUACCGCAUCCGGAAGGAGGGGAUUGCGUCUGAUUAGCUAGUUGGAGGGGCAAGGGCCCACCAAGGCGAUGAUCAGUAGCCGGUCCGAGGGGAUGAACGGCCACAUUGGGACUGAGACACGGCCCAGACUCCUACGGGGGGCAGCCGUGGGGAAUCUUCCGCAAUGGACGAAAGUCUUACGGAGCAACGCCGCGUGAGUGAUGACGGCCUUCGGGUUGUAAAGCUCUGUUAAGCGGGACGCGGUACCGGAAUAGAAAGCCACGGCUAACUACGUGCCAGCAGACGCGGUAAUAC
rnacentral:rRNA from 1 species